GGUGACCAGAGAGGAUGGACACCAGGGAGAUGUAACGUCCUACAGAACCCUCUAUUUCUCAGACAACUACGGCUACAGGACGAUCAUGCUGAAGAUCUGAGGAUUUAUCUCAUCCACAUGACUGAGAAGUGUGACUGCCUGCUCAGUCUGGAAGCCUACUCUGCUGACCAGAAGCGGCGUGUCUGUCAGUGUCUGAAGGACACGAUUGACAAGCAGCUCCAGCUCCAGAGGACUGCCCCCUUCUACCCUCCUAAU